AUUGAACGCUGGCGGCAGGCCUAACACAUGCAAGUCGAGCGGAUGAAGGGAGCUUGCUCCUGGAUUCAGCGGCGGACGGGUGAGUAAUGCCUAGGAAUCUGCCUGGUAGUGGGGGAUAACGUCCGGAAACGGGCGCUAAUACCGCAUACGUCCUGAGGGAGAAAGUGGGGGAUCUUCGGACCUCACGCUAUCUGAUGAGCCUAGGUCGGAUUAGCUAGUUGGUGGGGUAAAGGGCUACCAAGGCGACGAUCCGUAACUGGUCUGAGAGGAGGAUCAGUCACACUGGAACGGAGACACGGUCCAGACUCCUACGGGAGGCAGCAGUGGGGAAUAUUGGACAAUGGGCGAAAGCCUGAUACAGCCAUGCCGCGUGUGUGAAGAAGGUCUUCGGAUUGUAAAGCACGUUAAGUUGGGAGGAAGGGCAGUAAGUUAAUACCUUGCUGUUUUGACGUUACCAACAGAAUAAGCACCGGCUAACUUCGUG
rnacentral:rRNA from 1 species